AUUGAACGCUGGCGGCAUGCUUUACACAUGCAAGUCGAACGGGCUUGGGGGCUUGCUCCCAAGUUAGUGGCGAACGGGUGAGUAAUACAUCGGAACGUACCGUGUAGUGGGGGAUAACGUAGCGAAAGUUACGCUAAUACCGCAUACGAUCUACGGAUGAAAGCAGGGGACCUUCGGGCCUUGUGCUAUACGAGCGGCCGAUGUCUGAUUAGCUGGUUGGUGAGGUAAAGGCUCACCAAGGCGACGAUCAGUAGCGGGUCUGAGAGGAUGAUCCGCCACACUGGGACUGAGACACGGCCCAGACUCCUACGGGAGGCAGCAGUGGGGGAAUUUUGGACAAUGGGCGAAAGCCUGAUCCAGCCAUGCCGCGUGUCUGAAGAAGGCCUUCGGGUUGUUAAAGGACUUUUAGUCAGGGAGCGAAAACUUAACUGGUUAAUACCCGGUGAGGCUGAGAGUACCUGAAGAAUAAGCACCGGCUAACUACGUAGCCAGCAGCCGCGGUAA
rnacentral:rRNA from 1 species